rnacentral:tRNA from 1 species
ACUGGUUUGGCUCAGUGGAUAGAGCAUUGGCCUGUGGACCCAAGGGUCCCAGGUUCGAUUCCGGUUAUGGGUG